UACGAAGGGGGCUAGCGCUGCUCGGAAUCACUGGGCGUAAAGCGCACGUAGGCGGCUUUUUAAGUCAGGGGGGAAAUCCUGGAGCUCAACUCCAGAACUGCCUUUGAUACUGAGAAGCUUGAGUCCGGGAGAGGUGAGUGGAACUGCGAGUGUAGAGGUGAAAUUCGUAGAUAUUCGCAAGAACACCAGUGGCGAAGGCGGCUCACUGGCCCGGUACUGACGCUGAGGUGCGAAAGCGUGGGGAGCAAACAGG
rnacentral:rRNA from 1 species